CUUCUGGUCCGAAUUGUAAUUUGUAGAGGAUGCUUUUGGUGCGGUACCUUCCGAGUUCCCUGGAACGGGACGCCUUAGAGGGUGAGAGCCCCGUACGGUUGGAUGCCUAGCCUCUGUAUAGCUCCUUCGACGAGUCGAGUAGUUUGGGAAUGCUGCUCUAAAUGGGAGGUAAAUUUCUUCUAAAGCUAAAUACCGGCCAGAGACCGAUAGCGCACAAGUAGAGUGAUCGAAAGAUGAAAAGUACUUUGAAAAGAGGGUUAAAUAGUACGUGAAAUUGUUGAAAGGGAAGCGCUUAUGACCAGACCUUUGCCUGGCGGAUCAUCCGGUGUUCUCACCGGUGCACUUCGCCAGGUUGAGGCCAGCGUCGAUUUCUGGAGGGGGAUAAAGACAGUGGGAAUGUGACUCCUCCGGGAGUGUUAUAGCCCAUUGUGUAAUACCUCUCUGGGGAUCGAGGUUCGCGCUCUGCAAGGACGCUGGCGUAAUGGUCAUCAGUGACCCGUCUUGAAACACGGACCAAGGAGUCGAACAUUUGUGCGAGUGUUUGGGUGUUAAACCCUCACGCGUAAUGAAAGUGAACGGAGGUGAGAGCCCUUACGGGUGCAUCAUCGACCGAUCCUGAUGUCUUCGGAUGGAUUUGAGUAAGAGCAUAACUGUUCGGACCCGAAAGAUGGUGAACUAUGCGUGGAUAGGGUGAAGCCAGAGGAAACUCUGGUGGAGGCUCGCAGCGGUUCUGACGUGCAAAUCGAUCGUCAAAUCUGCGCAUGGGGGCGAAAGACUAAUCGAACCAUCUAGUAGCUGGUUACCGCCGAAGUUUCCCUCAGGAUAGCAGUGUUGUUUUCAGUUUUAUGAGGUAAAGCGAAUGAUUAGGGACUCGGGGGCGCUUAUUAGCCUUCAUCCAUUCUCAAACUUUAAAUAUGUAAGAAGCCCUUGUUACUUAAUUGAACGUGGGCAUUCGAAUGUAUCAACACUAGUGGGCCAUUUUUGGUAAGCAGAACUGGCGAUGCGGGAUGAACCGAACGCGAGGUUAAGGUGCCAGAGUAGACGCUCAUCAGACACCACAAAAGGUGUUAGUACAUCUUGACAGCAGGACGGUGGCCAUGGAAGUCGGAAUCCGCUAAGGACUGUGUAACAACUCACCUGCCGAAUGUACUAGCCCUGAAAAUGGAUGGCGCUCAAGCGUCUCACCCAUACCUCGCCCUCAGGGUAGAAACGAUGCCCUGAGGAGUAGGCGGCCG
rnacentral:rRNA from 1 species